AAAACGGAGAGUUUGAUCCUGGCUCAGGAUGAACGCUGGCGGUAUGCUUAACACAUGCAAGUCGAACGGUGUCUUCGGACACAGUGGCGGACGGGUGAGUAACGCGUGAGAAUCUGGCUCUAGGUCU
rnacentral:rRNA from 1 species